rnacentral:rRNA from 1 species
UAGGGAAUCUUCCGCAAUGGGCGAAAGCCUGACGGAGCAACGCCGCGUGAGUGAUGAAGGUCUUCGGAUCGUAAAACUCUGUUAUUAGGGAAGAACAAAUGUGUAAGUAACUAUGCACGUCUUGACGGUACCUAAUCAGAAAGCCACGGCUAACUACGUGCCAGCAGCCGCGGUAAUACGUAGGUGGCAAGCGUUAUCCGGAAUUAUUGGGCGUAAAGCGCGCGUAGGCGGUUUUUUAAGUCUGAUGUGAAAGCCCACGGCUCAACCGUGGAGGGUCAUUGGAAACUGGAAAACUUGGGUGCAGAAGAGGAAAGUGGAAUUCCAUGUGUAGCGGUGAAAUGCGCAGGGAUAUGGAGGAACACCAGUGGCGAAGGCGACUUUCUGGUCUGUAACUGGCGCUGAUGUGCGAAAGCGUGGGGAUCAAACAGG